AGAUUGAACGCUGGCGGCAUGCCUUACACAUGCAAGUCGAACGGCAGCACGGGAGCAAUCCUGGUGGCGAGUGGCGAACGGGUGAGUAAUAUAUCGGAACGUGCCCAGUCGUGGGGGAUAACGUAGAGAAAUUUACGCUAAUACCGCAUACGAUCCAAGGAUGAAAGCGGGGGACCUAAGGCCUCGCGCGACUGGAGCGGCUGAUAUCAGAUUAGCUUGUUGGUGAGGUAAAAGCUCACCAAGGCGACGAUCUGUAGCUGGUUUGAGAGAACGACCAGCCACACUGGGACUGAGACACGGCCCAGACUCCGUACGGGAGGCGAGCAGGUUGGGGUAAUUUUGGACAAGUGGGACGAAAGCCGUGACUUCCAGUCAAUCGGCCGUCGUCGACGAAGGGAAG
rnacentral:rRNA from 1 species